rnacentral:rRNA from 1 species
GACGAACGCUGGCGGCGUGCUUAACACAUGCAAGUCGAACGGAAAGGCCCUGCUUUUGUGGGGUGCUCGAGUGGCGAACGGGUGAGUAACACGUGAGUAACCUGCCCUUGACUUUGGGAUAACUUCAGGAAACUGGGGCUAAUACCGGAUAGGAGCUCCUGCUGCAUGGUGGGGGUUGGAAAGUUUCGGCGGUUGGGGAUGGACUCGCGUCUUAUCAGCUUGUUGGUGGGGUAGUGGCUUACCAAGGCUUUGACGGGUAGCCGGCCUGAGAGGGUGACCGGCGACAUUGGGACUGAGAUACGGCCCAGACUCCUACGGGAGGCAGCAGUGGGGAAUAUUGCACAAUGGGCGGAAGCCGGAUGCAGCAACGCCGCGUGCGGGAUGACGGCCUUCGGGUUGUAAACCGCUUUCGCCUGUGACGAAGCGUGAGUGACGGUAAUGGGUAAAGAAGCACCGGCUAACUACGUG